AUGGCAGCCCAAGUGGAACAAGACAACUGAGGACAGUGUUUUUAGUGUUUUUUUCUAUAAAAUGGGUAUGACAUUUGCAUUAAUCUAAUAGGAAUUUUUUCAUGAGAAUAAAUGUAGAGACGAUUGAAAAGUGUUAGGUACUAUGUUAAGAUAAAUACUAUUAUAUGUAUGGAAGAAAACUUUUUAAAGUCAUAGUUGAUAUAAGGCACAAAAACAUCUUCUUUCAAUACAAACUGAAUUGAAGUAAGAUUGGAAGUUAAACCCAGAAGAGACAGGUAAAGUAAGUGCUACAUAAAGAAAACUUUGUCUCUAAAAUGACUAGUGUGGAACCAGAUCAUUUUCAAAUUCCUUCUAGCUCUAAAAUUCCAUCACCCUUGUGAUAUGGAUCGGAGUGAGAAAACAUACUAAAAAGCCAAGACUUAUAUGACUUAUAUUCAAAUCAUUUAAAGGGCCCAUGCCAAAAUAUACUGACAGCUGACAUUUCCAAA
rnacentral:lncRNA from 10 species